rnacentral:rRNA from 1 species
UGGGGGAUAUUGCACAAUGGGCGCAAGCCUGAUGCAGCGACGCCGCGUGGGGGAUGAAGGCCUUCGGGUUGUAAACUUCUUUUGCUCUGAACAAGGCGCACUUUGGGGUGUGUUGAGUGUAGGGGUUGAUUAGCGCCGGCUAACUACGUGCCAGCUGCCGCGGUAAUACGUAGGGCUCGAGCGUUGUCCGGAAUUAUUGGGCGUAAAGGGCUUGUAGGUGGCUGGUUGCGUCUGUCGUGAAAGCUCAUGGCUUAACUGUGGGUUUGCGGUGGGUACGGGCUGGAUUGAGUGCAGUAGGGGAGGCUGGAAUUCAUGGUGUAGCGGUGGAAUGCGCAGAUAUCAGGAGGAAUAACGGUGGCGAGGGCGGGUCUCUGGGCUGUUACUGACACUGAGGAGCGAAAGCAUGGGGAGCGAACAGG